rnacentral:lncRNA from 1 species
GAGGAGCGUUACCAUGGCAACCGUGCCGCGGAGGCCUUGAGAGGCCACACGCCCUAUGUUGGUCUGCGAGAAAUCAAACUUCGAACAGGACAAGCCCGAAGCCCGCUUCUCCGGGAGACGGGGUGCCACAAUUGCAAGGACCCUUGCUCCACAGAAUUCUUUGCCUGGAAUUUUCUUCCCAGAAUCUUUGCAUGUCAUUCCCUCUGUUGCUGAGUUACCGGGAUCUCAAUGUAAACGUUACGUACUGACAGAGGCUGCUGUGAACUGAAUUGCGUGCUUCCCAAAAUUCAUAUGUUGAUACUGUCACCCCCGGUACCUAAGGAUGUGACUACAUUUGGAGAUAGCAUCAUCAAAGAGGAGUUCUGCAAUAAAAUGCCUGCUUUCUCCACCAGAUGGUAUUCACAAAAAUAGCUCACAUUAUGUUUUGCUUGUUUGCAAGUCAACAAGAUGAGGUCACCGAAAAGGUCUAACUGAUUCUGUCUGCUCAGGAAUGUUUCAGGCUUGGUCUCCCUUUUAAUUUACCUCGUAAAUCAUUUUGUAAUUUUUAUCUCCUACCCAUUCUGUAACUUGUUAAUUACUUUUAUACACAUGUAAUAUCUUUUAUGUGUGAUUUCUAAGUAUAUUACUAGUGAACAUUGACUGUUACAAGGCAUACCUUGUCUUAUUGCAAUUUAUUGUGCUUCCCAAGUGUUGGAUUUCUUACAAAUUGAGGGGUUUUGGCAACCUUACCUUCAGUGACUCUGUCAACAAUAUUUUUUCCAACACCAUGUGAUCUGUGUGUGUGUGUGUAUCUUUGUCAGCAUUUUUAUCAAUAAAGUACAUUUUUUAUUAAGGUA